UACGAAGGGGGCUAGCGUUGCUCGGAAUCACUGGGCGUAAAGGGCGCGUAGGCGGGUUGCUAAGUCAGGGGUGAAAUCCUGGAGCUCAACUCCAGAACUGCCUUUGAUACUGGCGGUCUCGAGUCCGGGAGAGGUGAGUGGAACUGCGAGUGUAGAGGUGAAAUUCGUAGAUAUUCGCAAGAACACCAGUGGCGAAGGCGGCUCACUGGCCCGGUACUGACGCUGAGGUGCGAAAGCGUGGGGAGCAAACAGG
rnacentral:rRNA from 1 species